CAGGAGGCGGAAGCACGAGAAUUGCUUGAACCCGAGAGGCAGAGGUUGCAGUGAGCCGAGAUCGUGCUACUGAACUCCAGCCUGAGUGACAGAGUGCGAGUCUGUCUCAAAAAAAAAAAAAAAAAAAAAAAAAAGAAUAUAUUAUGACCAAGUAGGGCUUAUCCCAGGAAUGCAAAAUGGUUUAUCAUUUAAAACUCAAUCAAUAUAGCUGGGCACAGUGGCUCAUGCCUGUAAUCUCAGCAUUUUGGGAGGCCGAGGCAGGUGGAUCACCUGAGGUCAGGAGUUCAAGACUAGCCUGACCAAUAUAGCAAAACACCAUCUCUACUAAAAAUACAAAAAUUAGCCAGGUGAGGUGGCAUGUGCCUGUAGUCCCAGCUACUUGGAAGUGAGACAGGAGAAUUGCUUGAAUCCAGGAGGUGGAGGUUGCAGUGAGCUGAGAUCGGGCCACUGCCCUCCAGCCUGGGUGACAGAGCGAGACUCCAUCUCAAAAAAAAAAAACAAAAAAAACCUCAAUCAAUAUAUAUCAUCACAUUAACAAGAUAAAAGGAGAAAUCAUAUGACCAUCUCAUUGAGAGAGACAAACAUUUGAGGCCAUCAACACCCACUCAUACUAACAACUUUCAAGGCAAUGAGAAUCUCCACAAUCUAAUAAAGUGCAUCCAUGAGAUAUAAUUAACUGCAUGCCUACUAGUGAAACAUUGAAAUCUUUCCCUUGCAUCAGCAAUAAAGCAAGGAAAUCUAAUCUUACUACUUCUGUUCAACAUUGUACUGAAAGUUUCAGCCAGUGGUACAAGGUAAGAAAAAAAAAACACACAUUGGAAAGGAAGCAAUAAAAAUGUUUCUAUCUGCAGGCAAGAUGAUACUAUGUAUAGAAAACCUCAGAGAAUUUUAUUUUAAAAAAAGACAAAACAUACAAGAACUAAUAAGUGAACUUAGCAAGGCUGCAGGCUACAAGAUCAAUAUAACAAAAAAUCAUAUUUAUAUAUACUAGCAACAUGCAACUGGAAAAAUAUAAGACACCAUUGGUAAUGGCAUAAAAAAAUCAGCUUUUAAUGAAUAAAUGCAUAAUUUCUACACUGAAAACUACAAAACAGUGCUGACAGAAAUUAAAGAAUAUUUAUUUUGUUUUUUGGUUUUGUUUUUUGUUGUUU
rnacentral:lncRNA from 1 species